CGUAGGUAACCUGCCUGGUAGCGAGGGAUAACUAUUGGAAACGAUAGCUAAUACCGCAUAAUAUUAAUUAUUGCAUGAUAAUUAAUUGAAAGGUGCAAUUGCACCACUACCAGAUGGACCUGCGUUGUAUUAGCUAGUAGGUGAGGUAACGGCUCACCUAGGCGACGAUACAUAGCCGACCUGAGAGGGUGAUCGGCCACACUGGGACUGAGACACGGCCCAG
rnacentral:rRNA from 1 species